rnacentral:rRNA from 1 species
GAUGAACGCUGGCGGCGUGCCUAAUACAUGCAAGUCGAGCGAACGGACGAGAAGCUUGCUUCUCUGAUGUUAGCGGCGGACGGGUGAGUAACAAGUGGAUAACCUACCUAUAAGACUGGGAUAACUUCGGGAAACCGUAGCUAAUACCGGAUAAUAUUUUGAACCGCAUGGUUCAAAAGUGAAAGACGGUCUUGCUGUCACUUAUAGAUGGAUCCGCGCUGCAUUAGCUAGUUGGUAAGGUAACGGCUUACCAAGGCAACGAUGCAUAGCCGACCUGAGAGGGUGAUCAGCCACACUGGAACUGAGACACGGUCCAGACUCCUACGGGAGGCAGCAGUAGGGAAUAUUCCGCAAUGGGCGAAAGCCUGACGGAGCAACGCCGCGUGAGUGAUGAAGGUCUUCGGAUCGUAAAACUCUGUUAUUAGGGAAGAACAUAUGUGUAAGUAACUGUGCACAUCUUGACGGUACCUAAUCAGAAAGCCACGGCUAACUACGUG